rnacentral:lncRNA from 1 species
AUUACUCUUCCUAUCACGGACACGCCAUACACAACAAGUGCUACUCAAAUUUCAACUAGUACUACUGUCCCUAAUGCCACUAUAUCUUCCCCUAUAAAUACUUCUAUGGAUAGCACAGAUAUUACUCUUCCUAUCACGGACAUGCCAUACACAACAAGUGCUACUCAAGUUUCAGCUAGUACUACUGUCCUUAAUGCCACUAUAUCUUCCCCUAUUAAUACUACGACCGAUAGCACUAUUCUUACUCUUUCUGUCACAACCAUGCUUUACCCAACAAGUGCUACUGAAGUUUCAACUAGUACUACUGUCCCUAAUGCCACUAUAUCUUCCCCUAUAAAUACUACUACUGAUGGCACUAAUGUUACUCUUCCAGUCACAGACAUGCUAUACACAACAAGUGCUUCUCAAGUUUCAACAAGUACUACUGUCCCUAAUGCCACUAUAUCUUCCCCUAUAAAUACUACUACUGAUGGCACUAAUGUUACUCUUCCAGUCACAGACAUGCUAUACACAACAAGUGCUUCUCAAGUUUCAACAAGUACUACUGUCCCUAAUGCCACUAUAUCUUCCCCUAUAAAUACUACUACUGAUACCACUGAUAUUACUCUUCCUAUCACGGACACGCCAUACACAACAAGUGCUACUCAAAUUUCAACUAGUACUACUGUCCCUAAUGCCACUAUAUCUUCCCCUAUAAAUACUACUACUGAUACCACUGAUAUUACUCUUCCUAUCACGGACACGCCAUACACAACAAGUGCUACUCAAAUUUCAACUAGUACUACUGUCCCUAAUGCCACUAUAUCUUCCCCUAUAAAUACUACUACUGAUACCACUGAUAUUACUCUUCCUAUCACGGACACGCCAUACACAACAAGUGCUACUCAAAUUUCAACUAGUACUACUGUCCCUAAUGCCACUAUAUCUUCCCCUAUAAAUACUACUACUGGUACCACUGAUAUUACUUUUCCUAUCACGGACACGCCAUACACAACAACUGCUUCUCAAGUUUCAACAAGUACUACUGUCCCUAAUGCCACUAUAUCUUCC